GAUGAACGCUGGCGGCGUGCUUAACACAUGCAAGUCGAACGGAAAGGCCCAAGCUUGCUUGGGUACUCGAGUGGCGAACGGGUGAGUAACACGUGGGUGAUCUGCCCUGCACUUCGGGAUAAGCCUGGGAAACUGGGUCUAAUACCGGAUAGGACGAUGGUUUGGAUGCCAUUGUUGAAAGUUUUUUCGGUGUGGGAUGAGCUCGCGGCCUAUCAGCUUGUUGGUGGGGUAAUGGCCUACCAAGGCGUCGACGGGUAGCCGGCCUGAGAGGGUGUACGGCCACAUUGGGACUGAGAUACGACCCAGACUUCUACGUGGGGCAGCAGUGGGGAAUAUUGCACAAUGGGCGCAAGCCUGAUGCAGCGACGCCGCGUGGGGUAUGACGGCCUUCGGGUUGGAAACUCCUUUCGCUAGGGACGAAGCGUUUUUGUGACGGUACCUGGAGAAGAAGCACCGGCUAACUACGUG
rnacentral:rRNA from 1 species